UGGACAGAUUAUUGUAUUCGACUGUAUUCAUGGUAUGAAAUAGGGGAUUACAUUGUUUUUAAAACGGAAAGUGAAUCAAUUAACAUAAUAGACUCCU
rfam:Nicotiana sylvestris Nsyl_contig103593, whole genome shotgun sequence.